rnacentral:rRNA from 1 species
UACGUAGGGCGCAAGCGUUGUCCGGAAUUAUUGGGCGUAAAGAGCUCGUAGGCGGUCUGUUACGUCCGCUGUGAAAACCCAGGGCUUAACCCUGGGCUGGCAGUGGAUACGGGCAGACUAGAGGUAGGUAGGGGAGAAUGGAAUUCCCGGUGUAGCGGUGAAAUGCGCAGAUAUCGGGAGGAACACCGGUGGCGAAGGCAGGUCUCUGGGCCACUACUGACGCUGAGAAGCGAAAGCAUGGGGAGCGAACAGG